rnacentral:rRNA from 1 species
GAUGAACGCUGGCGGCGUGCCUAAUACAUGCAAGUCGAGCGAACGGACGAGAAGCUUGCUUCUCUGAUGUUAGCGGCGGACGGGUGAGUAACACGUGGAUAACCUACCUAUAAGACUGGGAUAACUUCGGGAAACCGGAGCUAAUACCGGAUAAUAUUUUGAACCGCAUGGUUCAAAAGUGAAAGACGGUCUUGCUGUCACUUAUAGAUGGAUCCGCGCUGCAUUAGCUAGUUGGUAAGGUAACGGCUUACCAGGGCAACGAUGCAUAGCCGACCUGAGAGGGUGAUCGGCCACACUGGAACUGAGACACGGUCCAGACUCCUACGGGAGGCAGCAGUAGGGAAUCUUCCGCAAUGGGCGAAAGCCUGACGGAGCAACGCCGCGUGAGUGAUGAAGGUCUUCGGAUCGUAAAACUCUGUUAUUAGGGAAGAACAUAUGUGUAAGUAACUGUGCACACCUUGACGGUACCUAAUCAGAAAGCCACGGCUAACUACGUG